rnacentral:rRNA from 1 species
GCGAGUGAAGCGGCAAAAGCUCAAAUUUGAAAUCUAGUACCUCUGGUGCUCGAGUUGUAAUUUGAAGACGGCGACUUUGGGCAUGGCCUUUAUCUAUGUUCCUUGGAACAGGACGUCACAGAGGGUGAGAAUCCCGUCUGAUGAGGAGAUCCAUGCCUGUGUAAAGUGCUGUCGACGAGUCGAGUUGUUUGGGAAUGCAGCUCUAAGUGGGUGGUAAAUUCCAUCUAAAGCUAAAUAUUGGCGAGAGACCGAUAGCGAACAAGUACAGUGAUGGAAAGAUGAAAAGAACUUUGAAAAGAGAGUGAAAAAGUACGUGAAAUUGUUGAAAGGGAAGGGUAUUAGAUCAGACUUGGCGGAGCGUGCUUACCGUAGACUUGUUUUGCGGGCACUGGCGCUGUUGCUGGGCCAGCAUCGAUUGGGAGAUUGGCAGGAUAAUUGCGGUGGAAUGUGGCACUGUUCUUUGAGCGGUGUGUUUAUAGCCAGCGUGGAUACUGCCGGACUCGAUCGAGGACUGCGUCGAUUUAUUGACUAGGAUGCUGGCGUAAUGAUCUAAUAUCGCCC